UUGAACGCUGGCGGCAUGCCUUACACAUGCAAGUCGAACGGUAACAGGUCUUCGGAUGCUGACGAGUGGCGAACGGGUGAGUAAUACAUCGGAACGUGCCUAGUAGUGGGGGAUAACUACUCGAAAGAGUAGCUAAUACCGCAUGAGAUCUACGGAUGAAAGCAGGGGACCUUCGGGCCUUGUGCUACUAGAGCGGCCGAUGGCCGAUUAGGUAGUUGGUGGGAUAAAAGCUUACCAAGCCGACGAUCUGUAGCUGGUCUGAGAGGACGACCAGCCACAAUGGGACUGAGACACGGCCCAGACUCCUACGGGAGGCAGCAGUGGGGAAUUUUGGACAAUGGGCGAAAGCCUGAUCCAGCAAUGCCGCGUGCAGGAUGAAGGCCUUCGGGUUGUAAACUGCUUUUGUACGGAACGAAAAAGCUCCUUCUAGUACAGGGGGCCCAUGACGGUGCCGUAAGAAUAAGCACCGGCUAACUACGUGCCAGCCGCCGCCGUAACAC
rnacentral:rRNA from 1 species